AUGAGAUAUCCCUGGGGACUAGAUCCCCUUGAAGGGUCGUUCGAGACCAGGACGUUGAUAGGUCAGGUGUGUAAGCGCAGUAAUGCGUUCAGCUAACUGAUACUAAUUGCCCGUAAGGCUUGAUCCUAUAACA
rnacentral:rRNA from 1 species